GAUGAACGCUGGCGGCGUGCCUAAUACAUGCAAGUCGAGCGCAGGAAACUGACGGAACUCUUCGGAGGGAAGGCAGUGGAAUGAGCGGCGGACGGGUGAGUAACACGUAAGGAACCUGCCUCAAGGAUUGGGAUAACUCCGGGAAAUCGGAGCUAAUACCGGAUAGUUCAACGGACCGCAUGGUCCGUUGAUGAAAGGCGCUCCGGCGUCACCUUGAGAUGGCCUUGCGGUGCAUUAGCUAGUUGGUGGGGUAACGGCACACCAAGGCGACGAUGCAUAGCCGACCUGGGAGGGUGAUCGGCCACACUGGGACUGAGACACGGCCCAGACUCCUACGGGAGGCAGCAGUAGGGAAUCUUCCACAAUGGACGAAAGUCUGAUGGAGCAACGCCGCGUGAGUGAUGAAGGUUUUCGGAUCGUAAAACUCUGUUGUAAGGGAAGAACACGUACGAGAGGGAAUGCUCGUACCUUGACGGUACCUUACGAGAAAGCCACGGCUAACUACGUGCCAGCCGCCGCGGUAAUAC
rnacentral:rRNA from 1 species